UUCUGGUUGAUCCCGGCAGAGGUCACUGCUAUCGGGGUUCGAUUAAGCCAUGCGAGUCGAGAGGGUUCGGCCCUCGGCGUACUGCUCAGUGACACGUGGAUAACCUGCCCUAGGGAAGGGGAUAACCCCGGGAAACUGGGGAUAAUACCCUAUAGGUUACAGAUGCUGGAAUACCCUGUAACCCAAAGCCCCGACGCCCUAGGAUGGAUCUGCGGCCGAUUAGGUUGUUGUUGGGGUAAUGGCCCAACAAGCCCGUAACCGGUACGGGUUGUGGGAGCAAGAGCCCGGAGUUGGAUUCUGAGACACGAAUCCAGGCCCUACGGGGCGCAGCAGGCGCGAAAACUUUACAACGCGGGCAACCGUGAUAAGGGAACCUCGAGUGCCUGUAAAUGCAGGCUGUUCAGGUGCCUAAAACACACCUGAGGAAAGGGCCGGGCAAGACCGGUGCCAGCCGCCGCGGUAAUACCGGCGGCUCGAGUGGUGGCCGAUUUUAUUGGGCUUAAAGCGCUCCUAGCUGGGUUGUUAAGUCUCUUGGGAAAUCUGGCGGCUUAACCGUCAGGCGUCUAAGGGAUACUGGCAAUCUUGGAACCGGGAGAGGUGAGGGGUACUUCGGGGGUAGGAGUGAAAUCCUGUAAUCCUCGAGGGACCACCUGUGGCGAAGGCGCCUCACCAGAACGGCUUCGACAGUGAGGGACGAAAGCUGGGGGAGCAAACCGGAUUAGAUACCCGGGUAGUCCCAGCCGUAAACUAUGCGCGUUAGGUGUAUCGGUGACCACGAGUUACCGAGGUGCCGAAGGGAAACCGUGAAACGUGCCGCCUGGGAAGUACGGUCGCAAGGCUGAAACUUAAAGGAAUUGGCGGGGGAGCACCACAACAGGUGGAGCCUGCGGUUUAAUUGGACUCAACGCCGGGAAGCUCACCGGAUAAGACAGCAGAAUGAUUGCCGGGCUGAAGACUCUGCAUGGCUAGCUGAGAGGAGGUGCAUGGCCGUCGUCAGUUCGUACUGUGAAGCAUCCUGUUAAGUCAGGCAACGAGCGAGACCC
rnacentral:rRNA from 1 species